rnacentral:rRNA from 1 species
UACGAAGGGGGCAAGCGUUGUUCGGAAUUACUGGGCGUAAAGGGCGCGUAGGCGGGUCUUUAAGUCAGGGGUGAAAUCCUGGAGCUCAACUCCAGAACUGCCUUUGAUACUGAGGAUCUUGAGUUCGGGAGAGGUGAGUGGAACUGCGAGUGUAGAGGUGAAAUUCGUAGAUAUUCGCAAGAACACCAGUGGCGAAGGCGGCUCACUGGCCCGAUACUGACGCUGAGGCACGAAAGCGUGGGGAGCAAACAGG